GGUGGCUCAGUGGUAGAGUGCUUGCCUUGCAUGCAUGAAGCCCUGGGUUCGAUUCCUCAGUACUA
rnacentral:tRNA from 1 species